AGGCAACUGAACUUAGACUUGGUUUACCUAGUUCUGAGUCACCACCAAAUGGGGUUUUGGAAAAUUUCCCUUCUGGUGCUAAAAGGGGUUUUCUUGACACAUGGGGUUUUGGAUCUGAAGUUAGAUUUUGCUAAAAAUAGUGGCCUAGACCAGUGGAAGAGAAAAGAGCAGUUCUUUCUAGUACUAAUGGGCAGUGGCGGAGUCGGACUUUUGGUUAAGGGUGUUCAUAUUUUUUCUUGGGCAAAGAACUGUUUAAAAAAUAAAGAAAAUAAACCACUAAUGCACUUGACAAGGUUUGAACCCGAGUUGUUGAUGCGAAAAUGCAUACUCUUGACUACUGGAUUAUGCUUCUCUAGCUUGUUAAGGGUGUGCAACAAUAUGCAUAUAAUCAUAAAUAUCUAUAUUUAACCUAUAUACUGAAAAAAAUUUUCCGACGAAGGGUGUUCAUCUGACCACCCUUCGUCGGCUGUGGCUCCGCCCUUGCUAAUGGGCAUGGGGUUGCUCCAGCUGCAAAGUAAUCUUUCCAACUUACCCUUUAGUCAUAAGUUGAAAAUUUGGAGUUGUGUUUGGGCCUAUCGGCUGUUUCUUGUACUUCGAUCGUUAUAUUAUUUUUCUCCUGUGUGUUGUAGUUUUGUUGUGUGCUUUUAUAUUUAUUGUUUUGUUAUACGGUUAUUUGUCAUGAGCCAGGAUCUAUUGAAAACAACCUCUCUACUUCAUCUGAGGUAAUGGUAUGAACUGCAUACAUUUUACCCUCCCAGACCCCACUUUGUGGGGAAGUGGGAAUACACUGGUUAUGUUGUUGUUGUUGUUUCUCAGAAUGGUUUGUUAUGCUUUCACUUCUGUUUAUUCCUUUUGUUGGUCUGUUUUUCCUUGAGUCGAUCGUUAUAAGUAUUUAGUUCUUAUUUGGUCAUAAAUUUAGAGGUUGAAACUUGAAACUUAAAAAUUUGAGUUUUUGAAAGUGUUUUAGAGGGUUGUGUUAGAUUACAUAGGCAUAUCAAAGGGAAACUCUGAUGAAAAGAGCUGUGUCUCCACUAUGGAAAGUAAAGAUUUGAACUUUAAAGCAAAUGAACUUAGCCUUGGCAAGAGGGCCUUCGAUUGGUCCAAUUGUCAAACCAAUUGGCAAGCGGGCCUUCGAUUGGUCCCAUUAAUGUCAACUCCUAAAAAUAGUUGGCAAGAGGGCCUUCGAUUGGUCCAAUUGUCAAACCAAAAGUUGACAUUGCCUAUCCAGUAAUUUACCUUUAGGUUAAUAAUAGAUCCAAUGAGUCUCUUUGUUUUUUUCAUUACCUAGCUAUAAGCUUACACUUCUUGAUGAAUUUCCCGAUAACUAACUGAGUUCCAAUCAUGCCAUACCAAACAUUCUAGCAAAAUCAAAGUUUAGCCCCUAAUAUUUAGACCAAGACUUGUACAAGUGUCUUUUUGGUUGAUAAGUGAAGAAAGCUGCAAGUAUAUUGACUUCUCUUAUUGGUAAGUAAUACUACUGCAAGGAUUUUUAUCCAUCUAUAGGCCAUUACUUUUGCAGAUUUUGUGCUUGUGAUUAAGAGGAGGAAAGGAUCACCUUUUUUUCCCUCAUCACGAAAGAAACUAUGCUUCUAUUGAACCUAAGUUUAUGUCUUAAUCUCUUUGGUAUUGCUGUUGUUGAUGGUUUAGUUGCAUAUUGUUCCUACCUCUUCUCUUCUGUGCUUGCCAUUGCUCUUGUUCUUUAGGUUUGUCAUGCUCCCCUGUUUGAUCCUUACCAUUCUCAGGAACCUAGUUCUCUUGAGUUAAAGUUUGAUUAUUGUUGUGGUCCUGAUUUCCUUGCACCUGAGACUUACUGUUCUCCCUUUUGGCCUCAUCAUCCCUCCUCUUCUCCCUUUCUUCUUGUUUUUUUCCUUCUUUUGGCCUCAUCAUCCCUCCUCUUAAACAGUACAAGCCAAAAGUCACAUGACCUUGGUGUUUGCAAUAACAGAAGUAAGCAACACUGCCCCCAGCUUUCAUUUUCAUUCAUAUCUGAACUUUUAACUUUAGCAACACUGCCCCAUUGUGUCCUUUUAUGUCGCUUGAUCUAAGAAUAGAGCUUUACCAAUAAGAGACAACAAACAUGUGAGUAAUAAAUAGAAAGCUGAUAAUUUGCAGCAACACUGCCCCCAGCCCUCAUUUUCUACUCAUAUCUGAACUUUUAACUUUAUCAACACACUGCCCCCAUUGUGUCCUUUUAAAUGGCUUGAUUAAGAGAAGACAAAAAAUGUGUGAGUAGUAAAUAGAAAGCUGAAAAAUUGCACUUUCAAAGCUGGCACGCCAAUUGAAAGAUCACGUGAGAGGGUGGAAUGUGAUCCAACAACUCGAAGAGGACAUGAAGGGAUGGAAUAUAAUCCGUCAACUAAAAAAUGACGUACGCGAGUUGAAUAAAACAAAGCUUUGGAUAUAUUCCUCUAGUGGUGGAUUCGGAGGAACAGCGGGUGCCAUCAUCUACAGUUACACUGAUUGGUUGGGUAAACGGAGGGACAGUAAUAGGCGCUUCAACCAUGUCUCAGUAAAGACUCGCCUGAUAGCACUUGUAACACAGGCUAAAGUAUUGUGAGAAAAUUCACCAUGAGAUCGACGCCAAUUCCUCCAAGAGCAUCACCGGAUCGACUGUUGCUAUACCCGAGAUCAUGACUAAAACAAACCCCGAGAAGCCGAGCUCUGUUGCUGGACCCGAGAUCGUCUCCAAAGCCAACCCCGAGAAGCCGAGCACUGCUGCUAGCCCCGAGAGCAGCAGUGGGCCGAGCACUAGCGUUUAGGAGGCGUAAACUUCUCGGCUGUGGCAGUUUCUAAGUAGAGGGUUUUAGGAUUAAUUAGGUUUUUGUGAGAGUAACAAACAUAUAUUUACUUCAAAAAAUCUGGUCUACUUGUCGGUAGUUCUGUUAUUAUAUCACAAAAAACAUAUAUUUACUAUAUAGUCAGGAAGGGAAGAUUAUCAAUCCGUUUUGAAUAUUCUUCGUAGUAUAAUAUUUCUUACUUGGAUUCAAUUAGUGCUA